GGCACGGUGGUGCAGCGGAUAGCACUAUCGCCUCACUGCAAAAGGGUCCCAGGUUUGAAUCCCGACGGAGCCU
rnacentral:tRNA from 1 species